GAGCAAAAUACUGUGACGGGGCAAGCAAACAGAACUUUUAAUUAAAAAAUACUUAAUAAGUAUAGCACUACAUAGUUUUGAUUUAUAAUCUUCUCUACAAAGUACCUGGAAACUUUUGUAGGGUAAAAGUGUGCAAACAACAAUCAACGUGACCACACUAGUUUGAAUAAUUCUGGGAUAUAAUCUAAGCUACAAUUAUACGAUCACAUGUAAGCGGAACCAUAGAAAGAAAGCGGGAGCUCUCUCGGGCGGGAGUGAACACGUGACCUGCGCCCGAACACCGGUCGUGCACGGUCACUCACUCCGGAAUUUAUUAAUGCGUAAAAAAACCCAUAAAAGUACAGACAAUGAAAUUUGUAUUUCCUUCAACAUCCAAUUCGAUAGAAUUUGAAUUAGACAAGGCCAUUGCGUAAAAACAUAUUUAUCAAACUGCAUUUAAGAUUUUUGCAGAAAGCACAGUAUAAAUAAAUGUACUUUGCUUGGUAACAAUUUACGAAUUUGAUUUGAAUGCAACGUGGAUGAGUUGGAGCUUUUCUUUUAUUCAGUUUUCGUGGAUGUGUCUUUGUGAUAGCUCGUUUCAUUGAACUCAAGAUAAAUAAUACACAGCACAAUGGAAGCAGCUGAAUAGUGAUGUUGAGGGUGAACUAGGGCUGGAGACUUGUAACACUUCAACAAUUUCACAACUCGCGGUUUUGCCAUUCACUACCUAAAAUUAAACAAAAUAUAUAUAAUAUGGC